rnacentral:misc_RNA from 1 species
GAUGAAGAACGCAGCGAAAUGCGAUACUUGGUGUGAAUUGCAGAAUCCCGUGAACCAUCGAGUCUUUGAACGCAAGUUGCGCCCGAAGCCAUUAGGUCGAGGGCACGCCUGCCUGGGCGUCACACGUCGUUGCCCCCCCAUCUACUCCUUCGGGAUUGCGGGGGGCGGAUGAUGGCCUCUCGUGCGCCUCGUCGCGCGGUUGGCCUAAAUGCCAAGUCCUCGGCGACGCACGCCACGACAAUCGGUGGUUGCGAAACCUCGGUUGCCUGUCGUGUGCGGUCGUCGCGCAUCGAGGGCUCGAAAAAAUUGCCGGGCUUCGGCUCGACUUUCAACGCGACCCCAGGUCAGGCGGGGUUACCCGCUGAAUUUAAGCAUAUCAAUAAGCGGAGGA